ACUGGGGUGGGGGGUAUUCCUCAGGCUGGAUUGUGAGAGGGUGUAGGCCAGGCCGAGGGACCCCACCAGUGCACG
rnacentral:pre_miRNA from 1 species